AGGGCAAGUCUGGUGCCUGCAGCCGCGGUAAUUCCAGCUCCAAUAGCGUAUAUUAAAGUUGUUGCAGUUAAAAAGCUCGUAGUUGAAUUUCGGGGUUCUACCGUUGGUCGGGCUUUGUCUGUACUGGCGUGUAGAAUUUCUACCUUCUGGGGAACCAUUAUGUUAUUAAUUUAGCGUAGUGGGAAACCAGGACCUUUACCUUGAAAAAAUUAGAGUGUUCAAAGCAGGCUUAUGUCUGAAUACAUUAGCAUGGAAUAAUAGAAUAGGACGGUGGUCCUGUUUUGUUGGUUUCUGAAUCACCGUAAUGAUUAAUAGGGAUAGUUGGGGGCAUUAGUAUUCAAUUGUCAGAGGUGAAAUUCUUGGAUUUAUUGAAGACUAACUUCUGCGAAAGCAUUUGCCAAGGAUGUUUUCAUUAAUCAAGAACGAAAGUUAGGGGAUCGAAGACGAUCAGAUACCGUCGUAGUCUUAACCAUAAACUAUGCCGACUAGGGAUCGGACGAUGUUAAUUUUUCUUGACUCGUUCGGCGCCUUACGGGAA
rnacentral:rRNA from 1 species